rnacentral:lncRNA from 1 species
CCCGACCACUCUGCCUUCAGAUACUCUUAGUAAUAAGCUGUGGUUAUCCAGCAAACCACCCCCCGCCCCCGCCUCUGCCACCCUUGUUAAAAGAAACAGUAGAAAGUGGAAUUGGCGAUGAGAUUCGGAAAAUUCUGGUAGAAAAGAAGAUGAAAAGGGAAUGGAGUUUAGGGAGAAAGGCAAGAUCUUUGUUGGGAAUUUACCACCGUGGAUAAAGAAAAAUGAGGUGGCGGAGUUUUUCAGGUAGUUUGGGCCUAUGAAGAAUGCGAUUUUGAUAAAGGGCCAUGAUGAUUGUGAGAGAAACAUGGGGUCUGGGUUUGUGAUUUAUAGUGGGCCCACGGGAUGCAAUGAAGGCUGUAGAGUUCGAUGGGGUUGAGUUUCAUGGGGUGUUAUUGACUGUGAAGAUAGAUGAUGGGAGACGGAUGAAGGCAAAAACUGAGGGGAGGGCCAGGUGGGUUGAAGGCAAGGUAGGGAAUGGGGAUGAGUAUAUGUCUAAGUGGCAUGAAGAGAGAGAGAGGGCUCGAUAAGGGAGUUCCGGAAGGUUCUGGAGACUCAUCCCGAGAAUUGGCAUGCAGUUGUGCGAAUGUUUGAGAGGAUUAAAAAGGUACUUGUAUAAUUAUAUAAAUGCCCUGGUAGUGGCUGCUUGUGAUUGAUGUCAAGUUCGUUUAGUUAUAUAAAGGUUGAA